UGAAACUUUAAUUAUCAGGGACUGGAACAAACGACACACAAUCUACAGGUUUUGUAUAAGCCUGGGCUGAGAAAGGGAAGCAACUUUUAGAGGGAAGCAGUCGGGGAAACUCAUAGAUCGGAUGGAAUUUUUUUGAGACAACGCUAACCUUGUAAUCAGGCUUCCUUAAAAAAUCUGCAGAAGUAAGUUGAAGUAUUUACUCAAUUUGUCACUUUGUUUAGUGUCUUCUUGGUGAAUAUCAAAUGAAAUUUCAAAAUUUCAAACCCAUAAUGAUUCAGAAUUUGAGAAAUAUCUUCUAGAAAAGAUACAUCCAUGAGAUUGUUUAGUUAUUUUGAGAAAAUUAACAGGAUAGCAUUCUCCUGUACCACUGACAUCCAUGAUACAGUUUUAGAUAUUUUCUUUUAAAUUCAAGAUGGUCAGUCUCUUUGUGACAACUUCCAGUAUGGAUAAUCUUUCUUAUUGGAUCAUGAUCUUAAAAUUCAAAAUCAUAAAUUUGACUUCCUUUGAGCCAGACGCACAGUGAAAAUAACCUUUCUUGGCCAUAAACUGCAUUCCAGUUAGGCAUCUCAGGAAUGAGUGCCAUCGGCUAGCGGUGGGUGGGAAUUAGAAAUUAUGAACAGUUCUACACAAACAUUUCUUCCUUCAUGCCACGAAAACGUAUAGCAUCUAAUUUGGUCAAGCCACCAUGCUAGGCAUUAGGGGCUAUUAAAGUAAAGCAAAAUAAGAAGAAAUAAAAUCUGACUCCAGUCCUCAAAGAGAAACAAACAAUUUGCACAAUAUAUAUUAAAUAUAGAAAACGCUUUGGAUAAUGAUGUUCCGGGGGAAGAACGGGGAUGAAGUAUGUCUUCAAGCAGCAGAACGAUUGGGAAGACUUGACUGGUGGAGUCCUUGCUGCCAGCAAGGGAGAGAAAGGCAAUUAACAGGCGUCUUCAGAGCUGGGGCUGAGAAAGGCCGGGACGUUGUUUGAACUCUUAAAUAGAAGAAACAGUUCUAAGUAGAAGGAGCCUGCUUGACAGCGAGCUGCAGAGAGAGGCAAAGGGUGUCAGCACCAAGAGCCCAUGAGAAAGCUGAGGUAUUUUGGGAGCUGGAGUCAGCCACAGAAUUCAGGACUCUACCAUUGCAGCCAGG
rnacentral:lncRNA from 1 species